UCUGUACCGGAGAAGAUGAAUAUUGGUGCGCCAAUCUUGGCGACGAUAGAGUAGGAGGUUGUGGUGCCGAUUCUGGUACUUAUAUAUAGUGGCGUGCAUGUAGUGCAUACUAUAUGGUGACGUUCGGGUGAGUAGUUGUUACGCCCCGUUUUUUUUUUCUCUUUUCACUUCUAAUGGCGUAGUUAAGACAAACCAAUUUCAUAAUCAAAUCAGUCAUGCACAGAGCAACACUAUCAUGAUCUCUUAUUCAAAAUCAAGAUAAACCUACAAUCAUGCACGAGACAUCGCAUAAAGUACAACCGUACACACUAUCUACACUACUAUCAACUUUUGCACACUCAAUUCUGCCAA
rnacentral:lncRNA from 1 species